rnacentral:rRNA from 1 species
UCCAUAUCAAUAAGCGGAGGAAAAGAAACCAACAGGGAUUGCCUCAGUAGCGGCGAGUGAAGCGGCAAGAGCUCAGAUUUGAAAUCUCACCUAGUGUGCGAGUUGUAAAUUGCAGGUUGGAGUCUCGGGUUAGACGUGUGUGCAAGUCCCUUGGAACAGGGUGCCACUGAGGGUGAGAGCCCCGUAGCGUGCAUGUCGACACCUGUGAGGCCCUUCUGACGAGUCGAGUUGUUUGGGAAUGCAGCUCUAAGUGGGUGGUAAAUUCCAUCUAAGGCUAAAUAUUGGCGAGAGACCGAUAGCGAACAAGUACUGUGAAGGAAAGAUGAAAAGCACUUUGAAAAGAGAGUGAAACAGCACGUGAAAUUGUUGAAAGGGAAGGGUAUUGGGCUCGACAUGGGAUUUACGCAUCGUUGCCUCUCGUGGGCGGCGCUCUGGGUUUUUCCUGGGCCAGCAUCGGUUUUCGUUGCAGGAUAAGGACAAUUGGAAUGUGGCUCCUCGGAGUGUUAUAGCCUUUUGUAGAUGCUGCGUAUGGGGACCGAGGGCUGCGGCGGACUCGUUUCGUCUCGGAUGCUGGC